rnacentral:rRNA from 1 species
UACGGGGGGGGCAAGCGUUGUUCGGAAUUACUGGGCGUAAGGCGCGUGUAGGCGGCCCUGCAAGUCGGAUGUGAAAUCCCACGGCUCAACCGUGGAAGUGCAUUCGAAACUGCAGGGCUAGAGUCCUGGAGAGGAAGGUGGAAUGCUUGGUGUAGAGGUGAAAUUCGUAGAUAUCAAGCGGAACACCGGUGGCGAAGGCGGCCUUCUGGACAGUGACUGACGCUGAGACGCGAAAGCGUGGGGAGCAAACAGG